rnacentral:rRNA from 1 species
UACGAAGGGGGCUAGCGUUGUUCGGAAUCACUGGGCGUAAAGCGCACGUAGGCGGCUCUUUAAGUCAGGGGUGAAAUCCCGAUGCUCAACCUCGGAACUGCCUUUGAUACUGGGGAUCUCGAGUCCGGGAGAGGUGAGUGGAACUGCGAGUGUAGAGGUGAAAUUCGUAGAUAUUCGCAAGAACACCAGUGGCGAAGGCGGCUCACUGGCCCGGAACUGACGCUGAGGUGCGAAAGCGUGGGGAGCAAACAGG